rnacentral:rRNA from 1 species
AAAAGCUCAAAUUUAAAAUCUGGCGGUCUUUGGCUGUCCGAGUUGUNAUCUAGAGAAGUGCUAUCCGCGCUGGACCGUGUACAAGUCUCCUGGAAUGGAGCGUCAUAGAGGGUGAGAAUCCCGUCUUUGACACGGACUGCCAGGGCUUUGUGAUGUGCUCUCAAAGAGUCGAGUUGUUUGGGAAUGCAGCUCAAAAUGGGUGGUAAAUUCCAUCUAAAGCUAAAUAUUGGCGAGAGACCGAUAGCGAACAAGUACCGUGAGGGAAAGAUGAAAAGAACUUUGGAAAGAGAGUUAAACAGUACGUGAAAUUGCUGAAAGGGAAACGCUUGAAGUCAGUCGCGUUGGCCGGGGAUCAACCUUGCUUUUGCUGGGUGUACUUUCCGGUUGACGGGUCAGCAUCAAUUUUGACCGUUGGAUAAAGUCUGUGGGAAUGUGGCUUCUUCGGAAGUGUUAUAGCCCAUGGUCGCAUACAACGGUUGGGAUUGAGGAACUCAGCACGCCGCAAGGCCGGG